rnacentral:rRNA from 1 species
ACUGCGGAGAUCAUUACCGAGUGAGGGCCCUCUGGGUCCAACCUCCCACCCGUGUCUAUCGUACCUUGUUGCUUCGGCGGGCCCGCCGUUUCGACGGCCGCCGGGGAGGCCCUGCGCCCCCGGGCCCGCGCCCGCCGAAGACCCCAACAUGAACGCUGUUCUGAAAGUAUGCAGUCUGAGUUGAUUAUCGUAAUCAGUUAAAACUUUCAACAACGGAUCUCUUGGUUCCGGCAUCGAUGAAGAACGCAACCAAAUGCGAUAAGUAAUGUGAAUUGCAUAAUUCAGUGAAUCAUCGAGUCUUUGAACGCACAUUGCGCCCCCUGGUAUUCCGGGGGGCAUGCCUGUCCUAGCGUCAUUGCUGCCCUCAAGCACGGCUUGUGUGUUGGGCCCCCGUCCCCCUCUCCCGGGGGACGGGCCCGAAAGGCGUCGGCGGCACCGCGUCCGGUCCUCAAGCGUAUGGGGCUUUGUCACCUGCUCUGUAGGCCCCGCCGGCUCCAGCCUACACCCAACUUUAUUUUUCUAAAGUUGACCUCGGAUCACGUAGGGAUA